AUUGAACGCUGGCGGUAUGCCUUACACAUGCAAGUCGAACGGUAGAGGGGCAACCCUUGAGAGUGGCGAACGGGUGAGUAAUACAUCGGAACGUGCCCAGUCGUGGGGGAUAACGUAGCGAAAGCUACGCUAAUACCGCAUACGACCUGAGGGUGAAAGCGGGGGAUCUUCGGACCUCGCGCGAUUGGAGCGGCCGAUGGCAGAUUAGGUAGUUGGUGUGGUAAAAGCCUACCAAGCCUGCGAUCUGUAGCUGGUCUGAGAGGACGACCAGCCACACUGGGACUGAGACACGGCCCAGACUCCUACGGGAGGCAGCAGUGGGGAAUUUUGGACAAUGGGCGAAAGCCUGAUCCAGCCAUACCGCGUGCGGGAAGAAGGCCUUCGGGUUGUAAACCGCUUUUGUCAGGGAAGAAAUCUUCUGGGUUAAUACCUCGGGAGGAUGACGGUACCUGAAGAAUAAGCACCGGCUAACUACGUGCCAGCCGCCGCAGUAAAAC
rnacentral:rRNA from 1 species